CACACUUCUCAGAUUGGUCAGAUUUGUAGCAGGGCCUUGGGGACAGGAUGGGAGGGAAGGGUGAUCCUUCCCUUUAGCCUGACUUUUGUUUUGAGACAAGAGUCUAGUCAAAUAAUUCUGCCUGGCCUCAAAGUCGCUAUAUGGACCAGUUUCCCUCAAACUUGCCUGCCUUCCUCAGCUUCCAGACUUCUGGGAAUAAAAGGUGUGUGCCACUAGGCCUGGCUAGAUGGAUAUGUAGUGUGUGUGUGUGUGUGUGUGUGUGUGUGUGUGUGUGUGGUACUUGUGCAUAUGUGUCCAUGUGCCUCAAACUUGCCUGCCUUCCUCAGCUUCCAGACUUCUGGGAAUAAAAGGUGUGUGCCACUAGGCCUGGCUAGAUGGAUAUGUAGUGUGUGUGUGUGUGUGUGUGUGUGUGUGUGUGUGUGUGUGUGUGUGGUACUUGUGCAUAUGUGUCCAUGUGUGCGCAGGUAUGUAUUGCAGAGGACUGUCCGGUAUUCCUAUUACCACUUUAUUUUGUAUGUUUUAAUUUUAGAAGUUUAUUUUUAUAUUAGUGUAUGUACAGAUGAUGUGUGUGAGAACAUGGGCACACGUGUGCCAUGGCACAUGUAUUGUCCUCAGCAGACAACUUUCUCCCCUUCCAGUGUGGCUUCUGGGAAUCAAAGUCACUGUUACCUACUGAGCCAUCUUGCUGACCCAACCUUAUGUUUUGUGACAGGAUCUCUCUCUAAACUCAGCAGUCAUCUGCUCACCUUGGUAGACUGUCCAGUGAGCCCCAAGAUCCACUGUCUCCACCCUGCCUGUGCGGGGCAUUAUAGACUCCCCAGCGCAGCUGGUUAUAUGGGUGUUGGGAACCCACCUCAGGCCCUCAUGCUUGCAGGACGUGAACUUUACCAGAUCCAAACCAAAGAUCUUCCAGGUUGGGAAAAUGGACCAAUCAUUGUGGUAACUCCUGUCAUUCAUUCAUUCAUCUGCAUAUCUAUGGUGCCCUGCGCUGUCUAUGGAACAUGUAGCAAGAAGAUAGCUCUUGCUCUCUCAAAGUCUUAACCUGGAGGCGAGUGGGAAGUUGUCACCCACCCAGUAGGUGUGGCAAGGUGCAGGACAGGCUCCUAGAAUCAAGGGUGCUCCCAUGGCUGUCCCCACCUGUACUCCAGAAUGUGGGGUGAGAGGGGUUUCCAGCCCCCAAGCGGGGAAGCACGACAGCAUGAUUCUAAGAGAAUGACAUUGACCACUCCACAAAUUAUUGAACUCAGUCAACAUCUGCUGAGUACUUACUGUGUGCCCUAGGCCAGAACUGUAGAGACAGAAUCCAGGCGAGGACUUUCAUCCCCU
rnacentral:lncRNA from 1 species